rnacentral:rRNA from 1 species
ACUUAGCCCUAAACCAAAAUAGCUAUAUAACAAUGCUAUUCGCCAGAGUACUACUAGCAACAGCUUAAAACUCAAAGGACUUGGCGGUGCUUUAUAUCCCUCUAGAGGAGCCUGUUCUAUAAUCGAUAUACCCCGAUAAACCUCACCAACUCUAGCUAAUACAGCCUAUAUACCGCCAUCUUCAGCAAACCCUAAAAAGGAACUACAGUAAGCAAGAACAUCAACCAUAAAAACGUUAGGUCAAGGUGUAGCCUAUGAGUUGGAAAGAAAUGGGCUACAUUUUCUAACAUAGAAUAUAACGAAAAUUUUCGUGAAACCGAAAAUAGAAGGAGGAUUUAGUAGUAAACUAAGAAUAGAGAGCUUGGUUGAAUAAGGCCAUGAAGCAC